CCUUAGGAUGGGUCUGCGGCCUAUCAGGUAGUAGGGGGUGUAAUGUCCCUCCUAGCCUACGAUCGGUACGGGUUGUGAGAGCGGGGGCCCGGAGAUGGAUUCUGAGACACGAAUCCAGGCCCUACGGGGUGCAGCAGGCGCGAAAACUUUACAAUGCCGGCAACGGCGAUAAGGGGACCUCGAGUGCCAGGUUACAAAUCUGGCUGUCGUGAUGCCUAAAAAGCAUUGCAUAGCAAGGGCCGGGCAAGACCGGUGCCAGCCGCCGCGGUAACACCGGCGGCUCGAGUGGUAACCGUUAUUAUUGGGUCUAAAGGGUCUGUAGCCGGCCGGAUAAGUCUCUUGGGAAAUCCAGCAGCUCAACUGUUGGGCUUUCAGGAGAUACUGUUCGGCUCGAGGCCGGGAGAGGUGAGAGGUACUUCAGGGGUAGGGGUGAAAUCUUGUAAUCCUUGAAGGACCACCAGUGGCGAAGGCGUCUCACCAGAACGGACCUGACGGCAAGGGACGAAAGCUAGGGGCACGAACCGGAUUAGAUACCCGGGUAGUCCUAGCCGUAAACGAUACUCGCUAGGUGUCGGCCACGGUGCGACCGUUGUCGGUGCCGUAGGGAAGCCGUGAAGCGAGCCACCUGGGAAGUACGGCCGCAAGGCUGAAACUUAA
rnacentral:rRNA from 1 species